rnacentral:rRNA from 1 species
GACUACGGCCAUGCCACCCUGAACAUACCUAGUCCCAUCUGAUCUUGGAAGCUAAGCAGGAUCGGGCCUGGUUAGUACUUGGAUGGGAGACCACCUAGGAAGACCAGGUGCUUUAGGCA